CCUACGGGAGGCAGCAGUAGGGAAUAUUGCACAAUGGGGGAAACCCUGAUGCAGCCAUGCCGCGUGGAGGAUGAAGGUUUUCGGAUUGUAAACUCCUUUUGUUAGAGAAGAUAAUGACGGUAUCUAACGAAUAAGCACCGGCUAACUCCGUGCCAACAGCCGCGGUAAUCGGAGGGUGCAAGCGUUACUCGGAAUCACUGGGCGUAAAGAGCGCGUAGGCGGGAUAGCAAGUCAGAUGUGAAAUCCUAGGGCUUAACCAUAGAACUGCAUUUGAAACUGUUAUUCUAGAGUAUGGGAGAGGGAGGUGGAAUUCUUGGUGUAGGGGUAAAAUCCGUAGAGAUCAAGAGGAAUACUCAUUGCGAAGGCGACCUGCUAGAACAUAACUGACGCUGAGGCGCGAAAGCGUGGGGAGCAAACAGGAUUAGAUACCCUAGUAGUC
rnacentral:rRNA from 1 species